rnacentral:rRNA from 1 species
AAUGGGCGCAAGCCUGAUGCAGCCAUGCCGCGUGUGUGAAGAAGGCCCUAGGGUUGUAAAGCACUUUCAACAGUGAGGAAAGGUUAUCGGUUAAUACCUGGUAACUGUGACGUUAACUAUAGAAGAAGGACCGGCUAACUCCGUGCCAGCAGCCGCGGUAAUACGGAGGGUCCGAGCGUUAAUCGGAAUGACUGGGCGUAAAGCGCGCGUAGGUGGUUUUUUAAGUUGGAUGUGAAAGCCCAGGGCUUAACCUUGGAAUUGCAUCCAAAACUGGAAGACUAGAGUACAGUAGAGGGAGGUAGAAUUUCCGGUGUAGCGGUGAAAUGCGUAGAGAUCGGAAGGAAUACCAGUGGCGAAGGCGGCCUCCUGGACUGAUACUGACACUGAGGUGCGAAAGCGUGGGUAGCGAACAGGAUU